AGAAUGAACGCUGGCGGCGUGCUUUACACAUGCAAGUCGAGCGAGGCGGGGAGCAAUCCCCAGUCGAGCGGCGAACGGGUGAGUAACGCGUGGAUGACCUGCCCUUCAGCGGGGAAUAACCCGGGGAAACUCGGGCUAAUACCGCAUACGACCGAGAGGUGAAAGGGGGCCGCAAGGCUCUCACUGAAGGAGGGUCCGCGUCCGAUUAGCUAGUGGUAGGUAUGGCCUACAGGCGACGAUCGUAGCCGGCCUGAGAGGGUGAUCGGCCACACUGGAACUGAGACACGGUCCAGACUCCUACGGGAGGCAGCAGUGGGGAAUUUGCGCAAUGGGCGGAAGCCUGACGCAGCGAACGCCGCGUAGGAGGAUGGAGGUUCUUGGAUUAGUAAACUCCGUGUCAGU
rnacentral:rRNA from 1 species